AUACGAAGGGGUGCAAGCGUUACUCGGAAUUACUGGGCGUAAAGCGUGCGUAGGCGGUUUGUUAAGUCUGACGUGAAAUCCCCCGGGGCUCAACCUGGGACGUGCGUUGGAAACUGGCGAUCUAGAGUACGGUAGAGGGUGGUGGAAUUCCCGGUGUAGCAGUGAAAUGCGUAGAGAUCGGGAGGAACACUCGUGGCGAAGGCGGCCACCUGGACCAGUACUGACGCUGAGGCACGAAAGCGUGGGGAGC
rnacentral:rRNA from 1 species